GGAGAGGUGCCCGGAGUGGCUGAUCGGGGACCUUGAGCACAGGUCGGGCCGGCGACGGCCUGCGCAGGUUCGAAUCCUGCCCUCUCCGCCA
rnacentral:tRNA from 1 species